rnacentral:rRNA from 1 species
CCUACGGGGUGCAGCAGUGAGGAAUAUUGGUCAAUGGACGAGAGUCUGAACCAGCCAAGUAGCGUGAAGGAUGACUGCCCUAUGGGUUGUAAACUUCUUUUAUAUGGGAAUAAAAUGUUCCACGUGUGGGAUUUUGUAUGUACCAUAUGAAUAAGGAUCGGCUAACUCCGUGCCAGCAGCCGCGGUAAUACGGAGGAUCCGAGCGUUAUCCGGAUUUAUUGGGUUUAAAGGGAGCGUAGGUGGAUUGUUAAGUCAGUUGUGAAAGUUUGCGGCUCAACCGUAAAAUUGCAGUUGAAACUGGCAGUCUUGAGUACAGUAGAGGUGGGCGGAAUGCGUGGUGUAGCGGUGAAAUGCUUAGAUAUCACGAAGAACUCCGAUUGCGAAGGCAGUUCACUGGACUGCAACUGACACUGAGGCUCGAAAGUGUGGGUAUCAAACAGGAUUAGAUACCCUGGUAGUC